CCUACGGGUGGCUGCAGUGGGGAAUAUUGCACAAUGGGGGAAACCCUGAUGCAGCAACGCCGCGUGAGUGAUGACGGCUUUCGGGUUGUAAAGCUCUGUCUUCCGGGAAGAUAAUGACGGUACCUGAGGAGGAAGCCCCGGCUAACUACGUGCCAGCAGCCGCGGUCAUACGUCGGUGGCGAGCGUUGUCCGGAAUUACUGGGGGUAAAGGGAGCGUAGGUGGACUUGAAAGUGAGGUGUUAAAUACUCGGGCUCAACUUGAGUACUGCAUUUCAAACUGGAGGUCUAGAGUGCAGGAGAGGAGAGUGGAAUUCCUAGUGUAGCGGUGAAAUGCGUAGAUAUUAGGAAGAACACCAGUGGCGAAGGCGAUUCUCUGGACUGUAACUGACGCUGAGGCUCGAAAGCGUGGGUAGCAAACAGGAUUAGAUACCCCAGUAGUC
rnacentral:rRNA from 1 species